rnacentral:rRNA from 1 species
CGCAUCUGUGCAUGCAGCAUAUCAAUAAGCGGAGGAAAAGAAACUAACAAGGAUUCCCUUAGUAACGGCGAGUGAAGCGGGAAGAGCUCAAAUUUGAAAUCUUCAAGGUUUUACCUUGACGAAUUGUAGUUUAAAGAAGUGUUUUCUGUUGAAGUUUUGGUAAAAGUUCUUUGGAAUAGGACAUCAUAGAGGGUGAGAAUCCCGUAUUUGACCAUUAUUUUCAGCUGUGUGAUACACUUUCAAAGAGUCGGAUUGUUUGGGAAUGCAGUCCAUAAUGGGUGGUAAAUUUCAUCUAAAGCUAAAUAUUGGCGAGAGACCGAUAGCGAACAAGUACCGUGAGGGAAAGAUGAAAAGAACUUUGAAAAGAGAGUUAAACAGUACGUGAAAUUGUCAAAAGGGAAGCGUUUGACACCAGUGUUGUUUUCUCGAAAAUCAAUUAAAAAGAGUUUAGAUUUUGUUGUGUAUUGACCUUAACAGCUUGCAUUUCAAUUUUCUUGCUUUUUUUAAUGCACUUUUCGUUUAACAAGUCAACAUCAGCUUCUUUUGUUGUAAAAAGGUCAUUGGAAGGUGGCUUUCUUUUCGGAGAAAGUGUUUAUAGCCUUUGACUCCUGCAAUCGGAGAGACUGAGGUCUGCAGCGUAGAUCCUUCGGGGUUAGAUACAUUUGUGCUAAGUUAUAGCUUUUUAUAGACAACUUGUUGACUAUGAUUAGUCUUGUAGCUUACUCGCUUAUACUAUUUUACCUACGCUUAGGAUGUUGACACACGCGCGUGCUCG